rnacentral:sRNA from 1 species
GAAGAGAGAGAGAGAGACAGAGACAGAGACAGA